rnacentral:rRNA from 1 species
GUUAAAAAGCUCGUAGUUGGAUUUCUGCCGUGGUGCGCCUGGCCCGGCCUCUAGGGGUUGUGAGCCGGCGCGCACCGGGCAUCCUUCGUGUGAACACGUCUGCCGUUGAUUCGGUUCGGGCGUGGGAACACGAUCGUUUACUUUGAAGAAAUUAGAGUGUUCAAAGCAGGCAUUUGCUGUGAAUAGGUUAGCAUGGAAUAAUAAGAUAGGGCUUCGGUUCUAUUUUGUUGGUUUCUAGGACUGAAGUAAUGAUUGAUAGGGAUGGUUGGGGGUGCUCGUAUUGACCGGCCAGAGGUGAAAUUCACGGAUUCGGUCAAGACGAACUUAUGCGAAAGCAUUCACCAAGGAUGUCUUCUUUAAUCAAGAACGAAAGUUGGGGGAUCGAAGACGAUCAGAUACCGUCGUAGUCUCAACCAUAAA